GGCACCUUCUUAGCAUUGCUACGUGUUGCUGCCCAAGGUUGUGUAACACUUUGUUGGAUCGCUUCAAAUUGCUGGGGUGUGGAGAUAUCACUUGGACGUCACACCCUCUUCAUUCCAGCCUUCAAAAUUAGCACAUGUGCCUCCUUGAUGUCUUUUAAAUGAAUUAGCAUGUUGCACUCUUACUAGACGCCACUUUGCACAACCAUUAAAUCAGCCCUCUCUUUUCUCUAAUUCAAUCCCCUUCUUGACUCCAUUAUUCACACAAUUUUUAUUUUUAUUUUUAUUUUUUUUGUAUUUUCCAAUUUUUCUGUAUUUUCUUUUCUUUUUUUUUUCAUCUUGUCUCUUUUCUUUUCUCUCUUUUCAAAACACAACUCUAAGAGACAAGAUACACAACAUAUUUACAAAACAAACUAGAAGAGGAGCCAAUUAGCCAAAUCAUCAGAAUCUCCCAGGAGACAACACUUAUUCCCAAA
rnacentral:lncRNA from 1 species